rnacentral:rRNA from 1 species
AUACGUAGGUGACAAGCGUUAUCCGGAUUUACUGGGCGUAAAGGGCGUGUAGGCGGUCUUGCAAGUCAGAAGUGAAAUUCCUGAGCUCAACUCGGGCGCUGCUUCUGAAACUGCAGGACUUGAGUGCUGGAGGGGAUAGCGGAAUUCCUAGUGGAGCGGUAAAAUGCGCAGAUAUUAGGAAGAACACCGGUGGCGAAGGCGGCUUACUGGGCUUUUACUGACGCUGAGGCUCGAAAGCGUGGGGAGCAAACAGGAUUAGAUACCCUGGUAGUCCACGCUGUAAACGAUGAUUACUAGGUGUGGGGGGACUGACCCCUUCCGUGCCGCAGUUAACACAAUAAGUAUUCCGCCUGGGGAGUACGGCCGCAAGGUUGAAACUCAAAUGAAUUGACGGGG